AACGAACGCUGGCGGCAGGCUUAACACAUGCAAGUCGAGCGAAGUCUUCGGACUUAGCGGCGGACGGGUGAGUAACGCGUGGGAAUGUGCCUCUGGGUGCGGAACAACAACUGGAAACGGUUGCUAAUACCGCAUGAUGUCUUCGGACCAAAGAUUUAUCGCCCAGAGAUCGGCCCGCGUUGGAUUAGGUAGUUGGUGGGGUCAUGGCCUACCAAGCCGACGAUCCAUAGCUGGUUUGAGAGGAUGAUCAGCCACACUGGGACUGAGACACGGCCCAGACUCCUACGGGAGGCAGCAGUGGGAAUCUUGGACAAUGGGGGAAACCCUGAUCCAGCCAUGCCGCGUGAACGAUGAAGGCCUUAGGGUUGUAAAGUUCUUUCACCGGUGACGAUAAUGACGGUAGCCGGAGAAGAAGCCCCGGCUAACUCCGUGCCAGCAGCCGCGGUAAU
rnacentral:rRNA from 1 species